ensembl:lncRNA novel transcript
AGAAUCACUGAGAAGGAAGAGAGAGAAAAGGCAGAGUGAGAAUGACAGGCUUUUACAUACACUUUAAAGUCAACGUCAUUUUUGAUUUAGUUCAUCAGCCUGAAAGGCAUGCAUACACAUCACAAGUGGAAGCAAAAAGGUGAAGGCUGGGAGACAUUUCCUAGUAGGGAAGAAGAUAAAGAGGAAACAAGGAACUGCAUCUGGGCUUGCUGAGAUUUCAGGCCAAGGAGUGCCUGCAUAAUAGACCACUUAAAACUCCUGGAAUUGUAGUGAGCUCAUUUUGACAGAUGGUUAUGAAGCUGUUGGAAAUGGUUUGCUGAGAUGAGUGUGGAAUUCCAAAGCACUGCUUGCUUGCUGAAUUCCAAUGGAUGGUGAACAGCCCGCUUUGGAAAGGGUCUUACUCUGUUGCCCAGUCUGGAAUGCAGCAAUGUGAUCUCAGCUCACUGCAACUUCUGCCUCCUGGGGUCAAGUGAUCCUCCUGCCUCAGAACCCAAGUAGCUGGGAAUAAAGGAGUGCACCAUCACACCCAGCUAACUGUUGUAUAUUUUGUAGAGAUGGGAUUCACCAUGUUACUCAAGCUCAUCUGGAACUCCUGAGCUCAAGUGGUCCACCCACCUUGGCCUCCCAAACUGCUAAGAUUGCAGGCAUGAGUCACCAUGUCCAAACUACAUUUAAAAAUAAUAAAGUAAUGUAUUAUUUCUGUUUAGAAUUUAUAGAAAGAAAUCUUUCUUUCCUUCAAGGAACUUUAAAGUUCUUCUAGCUCUUUAGAUUAUUAGAGGUAAGCAAAACCAAUCCAAUUUCAAAUGACUGGUGUGGUCUAUCAUUUUUUGGAGUCUUGACAAAGGUAACUUAGGAAUUUUAAAUAGAUAGAGCUAAUGAUGAAUUGUUGAAAAUGCUUAGGAAAUAAAAUGACUAUUUAUAGAACCAAAUACAAGCCUUCCAUUAGAAACUAAAUAAAUCAAUGGUUUUACAUAUAUAUAUAUGUACACACACAUGCACACAUGUAAAACCAAUGAGUUAUACGCACACACACACACACAUGUAUAUAUGUAAAACCCAAAGUAAAACAAACAGUAAAUACGUGAAAAUAAUAGCAAAUAUAUAUGUGUGUUAUGUAUAUUAAUGUCUUUAAGUCCACCAACACCACUAUAUAUUUUGUGCAGUUAAGAAAUGUUCUUUAAGCACACGACCAGUUUUUUAACACAAUUUACUAUUUAUGCAGAAUAGCAAAUAUAGUAUGAAACCUAGCAAUAUAAGCAUUUAUGUGAAAUUUGGCUCCAUGCUAAAUCUGACUUCAUGCUUAACUAUAUUAAAACAAAAUUUCCAAAAGUCAAUGUAUUUUUGUAAUAUUUUAUAUUUUAUCUUUAUUAAGACUAAGAGAUUU